CGGCUUCGGCUUCGGCUUUCGUUCGAGUUUGCCGGUGGCCUAACCUAAUUUCACUUGGCCAUAUUUGGCAAAUAACUGCUAGUAACUAGUAAUAACUGCAAGUAACAAGUCACUUUAGUUGAUUAUCAAAGCGUUUAACUUUAUUAAUCGGUUAAUAAAAAUUAAUCCCAAUUAUCAUGGAAAUGAUAUAUGAAAUUGACUCCAAUGACAUCCUGGAUAAAUGCCGCUUAUGUCUUACUGACAGCAGCUCAAUGCAAGACUUAUUGGUUCCAAACAGCUCCCACGUUAAUGAAGUACUUCUUGACAAAAUAUCUGACAGCUUAUCAAUUAUAAUUUCAGAUUUUGAGAAUUUACCAUCAAAGGUGUGUAACGGCUGUUGUGAACAAGUUGAAAGGGCUUACGACUUCAAGAAAAAAUGUCUUGCUGUCGACUCUUUGUUGCGAAACCAUGGAAAGCUGAAGCAAAAGGAGAGGAGACAAGCAUUGACGCUUCCGCAUAAUGUCGCACCUGCAUCAGAUAUUUUUUCCAACACAGAAAGUUUUGGAGUUUCAACAGAAUGUGCUUCUAUUCCCAGUACGUCUACAGGUAAGAUGAACUAUGACCCUGAAUUACUGAAGGUAGAGAUCAAGGAAGAAGAUGUUGAUGAAACUCUUAUUGGGAGUAUUUCUAGUGAAAGUGAUUUUGAGGAUAUCCCUUCAACUUCUUCUAAAAAUAACCCAAAACUUAAACAUACAAUCUCUUCUAAACGAAAAGUACAAACCCUUCUUGAAAGUGCUAAAUUUAGAUGUACUUCCUGUGGAAAAAGCUUCUGUAAUAAAUAUAGCUUAAGCCGCCAUAAACAGUCUCACUCUAAGAAAACCUUUACUUGUAGUUUCUGUGAUAAAAUAUUUACAAAUCAAGAAAGUUGGCUUCGCCAUGAAAGAAUGCAUCAGAUUGGAAAUCGAUAUAAAUGUCAAAUGUGUGAAAAGUCCUAUGUCUCAAGCACUUCUUAUGCUGCCCAUCUCCGAAAGCACACAGGUGAACGACCCUAUAAGUGUGUAAUACAAGAUUGUGAGGAAACGUUUUACUUAUUAUCAUCCUUUGAGCGCCACAUUGCAAAGCAUAAAGGCAUGAAAGAGUUCAAAUGUGAAAUAUGCAGUUCCGCUUUCUGGGUACCUGAUGAUUUAAGAGCUCAUGUGAACAGGAUGCAUUGAUCUGCUAUACUUAAAUUCAUCUACCUUAAGUGGUCUGAGUGCUGUGUACCUCCUAGAAGAAUUCUUUUUGUGCAAGAAAUAUGGAGCUUCGAGCUGCUCCAACCAUAGUAUAAAAUAAUAUUACUUGUUUCUCUUUGAGCAAACUUAAACCAAAUUAAUGAAGACAAAAUAUACUAUGUGUUAAAAAUUAUCUAUGGAAGUAGCAACAUUGUGUACAGCUAUUAGGUGUCAUUCAGCUGGAUGUCUAAACACAGCUGCUGUCUGAAUUUCGUUUCUUAGUUCUUACAUUCCUUGGAAAAUCUUCAUGUGUAGCUGUAUUUUAAUUUUAUUUAUUCCUCCUCGUCUUUUAAUUGUCUUGUCUGAAUGUGCUCAAUAUUUGUUUUUAUAGGGCCUCUAUCUAUUGUUCUAUGCUCCUAAUUCUUUUCUUUUAAAAUGUUGACUAUGUCUAGUUUUUGGUUUUGGUCCUAGGUAGCUAGCUGUCUGUUUGCCAAACAUUCUGGAACUUAAAUCCUGGCAUUGUGAUUUUGUAUAGGACAGACACAGUAAUGUUAAAUUUUAUACUGUUCCCUCUCAGCCUAUGAUCUUUGUAUGUAAUUUGUAUGUAGAUAUGAACUCCAAUUUUAGUAUGUCCAAAAAGAAGCCUAUACUUUGUUUAUAGGAUUGCUUCUAUUUUUGACUUAGACAUAAAACCAGAAAAAAAAUUAUGGAGUUCAGAAAAUUAUUCACAUGACCCAAACCGGAGGAUACGGAUGUCACGCACUUCUAAGGUUCUAUCUGUGACAUACUGAGUGUACUUGUUGUGAUCAGCUGCUCUUAAAUUAGUAGAUGCCUCAAGACCUCUCUUAACAA